GACGAACGCUGGCGGCGUUCUUAACACAUGCAAGUCGAACGGAAAUGCCCUGCUUUUGUGGGGUGCUCGAGUGGCUAACGGGUGAGUAACACGUGAGUAACCUGCCCUUUACUUUGGGAUAACUUCAGGAAACUGGGGCUAAUACCGGAUAGGAGCUCCUGCUGCAUGGUGGUGGUUGGAAAGUUUCGGCGGUUGGGGAUGGACUCGCGGCUUAUCAGCUUGUUGGUGGGGUAGUGGCUUACCAAGGCUUUGACGGGUAGCCGGCCUGAGAGGGUGACCGGCCACAUUGGGACUGAGAUACGGCCCAGACUCCUACGGGAGGCAGCAGUGGGGAAUAUUGCACAAUGGGCGGAAGCCUGAUGCAGCAACGCCGCGUGCGGGAUGACGGCCUUCGGGUUGUAAACCGCUUUCGCCUGUGACGAAGCGUGAGUGACGGUAAUGGGUAAAGAAGCACCGGCUAACUACGUG
rnacentral:rRNA from 1 species